rfam:Gossypium raimondii chromosome 6, whole genome shotgun sequence.
AACCCAUGAUGAGGGCACAUUCUCAAUAAGUCCUUAUAUCUCUCCCAUGCAUCAUAUAAAGUCUUUACAUUGAUCUGCACAAAGGAAGAGAUAUCAUUCCUCAACUU